GGAGGGGGGAAGAGAAGGGGACAUUAGGGCUGGCUCACGAGGGAGGGCUCAAGCUGUAGGAUUUGGGCCUGGCAAGGAGAUGUUUCAGGAAGAAAAAUGUUAUAUAAAGUUCACUCUUUCAGAAUGCAUUGCAAGGCUUUCCAUUCUCAAGAAAUCUCAACCUGUUUAGAAAAAUCAAAGAUCUGCCCUGGACCUUGAAGCCAUAAUUGAUCCUGACCCUGCCAAGGGCUAAUCUGCAUCUCCCCACCCCCUUCUGCAGGCCUGCUCCUCUGAAGCCACUUCAGGGGGAUUUGCUCGACCUUCCCAUCAGGGACAUUCCCUUAUACUUCAUCCAGCUCUUUCGCUACAGGAUGAAACUGAAUUGAGCCUGUUCAGUUCUUAUUUGGCUGCCUGUUUUAAAAAUAACCUUUUGUAUAUUUGAAAAAAUUCAUCGUCCCAAAUGAUCCCUCAGCUUUUUCCUUUCCAGGCUUCACGGCUCCUUUAACCUUUACCUCUAAGUCCCACUCUUCAUUCCUUUAAUCCUUUUGUUAUUCUCCUUGUAGUUCCUUUGGAUUUCCACACCAUUCCCCAUCUCCUCACUUCUCCCACUUGCAACAAAACAGGACGGGGGAGACAAAUACGGACAGGACUAGUUCUUCCUUCACCUCCUGGAUACCUGCCAUGAACGAGGAAUUGAAUGCUUCUGGAUGAGAGACAGAAAAUAAUUCUUCCUGCUUAUGAUGUUGAGGACCUGACAUCGCUUCCUGUGGCUCAGAGGCUCAAAGCGAGCGUGGGGCCCUCCUUACCGCGUCUGAAAGGAACUUUCCCUGUAAACAGGUACCCACGUCUACUCACCGAGCUCUGGCCCCUCCCACUGCUGCAUUCAGCCCGGCCGUCUCCUCCCGGGUGCCGGCGGAGAAGCCAAAGAUUUUGGGGUUGAACUUCUUCAGAAUGUCUUUGAAGAGGGAAGGAGCAGAGAGCACAGGGAGGUCUGAAAGGCUGCCAUCGGGACUAAGCCAAGGGGAGAAGUGUGGUUUGUGGAGAGCCCGGGAGCCCAGCAGUGCUGCAGCCUAGCUCGUCAUGGGCUACCCGGGAUCAAGGUCUGCACUGCACGGGAAUCAGCAAGACCUGCUCAAGGCUCCAAGUUUAUUCCAGGGAACUGCUCAAUUCAUCACACGGAUGGAGUCCUUCUGUGUGGGAGUUCUACUGAAAUCAAGAACACGUUUGUGCGCAGAUGACAAAUAUCUGGGGAAGAUGCAAUUAAAAAAAAUUCUAUAGCCGUGAGCACUUUAGGAACAUCUCAGAGAACUGGUGAGCCAGAGACAAGCCCAUCCCAUGCAGAUGAACAGACCCAGGUUGGAAAUGGAGCACUCUCGUCUGUUCCAAGGGAAGAACUGUACUUGGCACCCUAUGCCAGGGCACCCGGAUC